GGAGAAUUAACUUGAUCGAUGAUAAGAAUGUACGUACAACCAUAUGGAAAUUUGUGGUUUUAAUUUACAACAGAUGAAGGACCAAAUUGAUUAAGUACAAUUGCAGCCUAUCCUUGUACCUAAUUCUUCGUGGACAUCAAUGUUAACAAAGGAAAUGGUUGUUUUGGAAAGCAGGGAGUGGACACAGAAAUAAGACCUGUCUAAGGCUUAUUCAGAUGCUUGACUCAACAAAGGGUCUGUGAAAUUGGACAAGGGAAGGCUUGGACAUAUCCAAUAUAUUACCGGACAAGUAUUGAACAGAUUAUAAAGGAAAUUUCAAUAAAUUACACAACUGUGAAUCAAAUUUAAUAUGCUACAUCAUCGCCCCCAGGGCAUAUCUCCCAGUGGCAAAGGGGAGGGCGGAUAGGGCUCAGCGCGGCAGUGUGCAGAGUUCGAUUCCCCGCAAGGUGAAAUUGACUUUGUUGCAAGCGGGAGUUACCAUAUGGGUUAAAAGCUUUGGCCAAUCCAUAUGCUCUCCACCCUGGCUCCUGGGAGGCACAUCCUGCGAUUUACCUCCUCCACGAUGACUCAAGACAGGAUCGAUGGGGCCCUUAAGAUUGGGAUUCAACCUUUUUAGUAGGCUACAUCACCUGGAGAAGAAAUUAGGAUCUAGCACUGUUGGGAAGGAAGCAGAGCAUCAUGGCAGCUUUUAAGCUAAUACUGCAAAAAGCAAUUCCUGUCAAGAUAUUCUUUUCUUGCUGCAAAAUUAUGGCACCUGUGUUGAGCUGUGGACCACAUUGUGCAACAGAGGUGCCAGCCAUAUCUCAUUGGCAUCUAAAUGCAAAUGCUAUCCAUUAAACUGCUAGCUUAAGCAGGUAUGUCACCAAACAGUGUUGGAAACGAGACAUCUGGGGUCAGCCUUCAAAGAGUGUUCUUCCUAUAGUCUUAUAAUGUUUUUGGGGUUAGCUCACCCUCGCGGGAUCGCGACCCUUUGUCCCGGUCAUUGUGGCACGUGUGUCGCCCAAGGCAUAAG
rnacentral:lncRNA from 1 species